GACUGAUGAGAAUAAAUAAGGGGUUGUUUUUGUCUAUGAAACCUGUGGCGAUUUGUUAAGCAGCAAUCGGAAAUUAAUACAGUCACUUUCUUGUUUCCCGUUGGCUUAUGUUAUUUUCUGCUAAAUCCAAGGUGGGCAUAACAUCCUCUUUGACCAUUUCUGAUAUGAAACAUCUAGUUCAAUGUUAGCACAACUCAGAAACCUAACAAUAGUUUUUCAUUUUACUUAUUUAAUCAACAAAACUUGGAGGUGCACCAC
rnacentral:lncRNA from 1 species